UACGGGGGGGGCAAAUGUUGUUCGGAAUCACUGGGCGUAAAGGGAGCGUAGGCGGGUUCUUAAGUAAGGUGUUUAAUCCCGGGGCCCAACCCCGGACCGGCACUUUAAACUGGGAAUCUUGAAUAGUGGAGAGGUCAGUGGAAUUGGGGGUGUAGCGGUGGAAUGCGUAGAGAUCCCCAAGAACACCAGUUGCGAAGGCGGCUGACUGGACACAUAUUGACGCUGAGGCUCGAAAGCAUGGGGAGCAAACAGG
rnacentral:rRNA from 1 species